rnacentral:rRNA from 1 species
AUACGUAGGGUGCAAGCGUUAAUCGGAAUUACUGGGCGUAAAGCGUGCGCAGGCGGUUUUGUAAGACAGAGGUGAAAUCCCCGGGCUCAACCUGGGAACUGCCUUUGUGACUGCAAGGCUAGAGUACGGCAGAGGGGGAUGGAAUUCCGCGUGUAGCAGUGAAAUGCGUAGAUAUGCGGAGGAACACCGAUGGCGAAGGCAAUCCCCUGGGCCUGCACUGACGCUCAUGCACGAAAGCGUGGGGAGCAAACAGGAUUAGAUACCCUGGUAGUCCACGCCCUAAACGAUGUCAACUGGUUGUUGGGAAUUUAUUUUCUCAGUAGCGAAGCUAACGCGUGAAGUUGACCGCCUGGGGAGUACGGCCGCAAGGUUAAAACUCAAAGGAAUUGACGGGG